GGGCGGUUAGCUCAGUGGUUUAGAGCGCUGCGUUGACAUCGCAGAGGUCACAAGUUCGACCCUUGUACCGCCCACCA
rnacentral:tRNA from 5 species